GGGCGUCUCCAUGUUCUUAAAGAGAGAGUGCAUGAAAAAUACCACCGCUGUAACAAGGUGGCGUGGUUUCUGCAGGAUCGGCAGACUGCAGCAAAGACAGUACAGUAUGAAGAUAUGGAAAAACUGCUUCUCCAAUAAAAAUCCCCGAUCACGCUUGUAGGCGAUGUCAUGGCUACGAUGGCUAGCUAAACUCAGGCGCCGAAACACGUCAUCGGGUCUAAGGUUCGUCUCGCUCAGGACUGCGCAUUUGCAGGCCAUCAAAUCAUAGAUGGCUGCACACAAGCUCACAGCCACCUCAGAGAAGUGAGGAGCAGCAGGAUGAUGAGGUGGCGAUGCCUACUUGUUGUGAGUCCUGGUGGCCACCACAGCCCGGGCUAUAUGCUGCUGCAGGUCCAGAGGCAGUAGAGUCAGGUCUCCCAACACCCGGAUGCACACCCCAUGCUUCUCCAGAUUCUCCCUGGAUUGGAAGAGAUCAGACAUGACCAAGUCAGGAUGGCUUUUGGUCCCCCGAAAAUGAACAGCUGAUAAAUAAAACUGUUGCUGGCCAAAAUGACCAGUAGGAAAAAAAAUCCCAUUGUAAAAUAAUUUAUGGAAAUACCAGUCAGUCUAUCGGUUAAUUUGCAUAAUUUAAUUGGUGUGUAUUUUCAUUAGUUGUUGGAUUAAUAAAAUACAUGAUGACUAUCA